CCUACGGGUGGCAGCAGUGGGGAAUAUUGCGCAAUGGGGGCAAGCCUGAUGCAGCAACGCCGCGUGAAGGAAGAAGGCUUUCGGGUUGUAAACUUCUUUUAUCAGGGACGAAAGAAGUGACGGUACCUAAGGAAGAAGCCACGGCUAACUACGUGCCAGCAGCCGCGGUAAUACGUAGGGGGCAAGCGUUAUCCGGAUUUACUGGGUGUAAAGGGAGUGUAGGCGGGAAGGCAAGUCAGAUGUGAAAGCCACAGGCUCAACCUGUGGACUACAUUUGAAACUGUGUAGCUUGAGUACAGGAGAGGCAGACGGAAUUCCUAGUGUAGCGGUGAAAUGCGUAGAGAUUAGGAGGAACACCAGUGGCGAAGGCGGUCUGCUGGACAGAAACUGACGCUGAGGCGCGAAAGCGUGGGGAGCAAACAGGAUUAGAUACCCUAGUAGUC
rnacentral:rRNA from 1 species